CCUACGAGUGACAGCAGUGGGGGAUAUUGGACAAUGGGGGGAACCCUGAUCCAGCGACGCCGCGUGAGUGAAGAAGUAUCUCGGUAUGUAAAGCUCUAUCAGCAGGGAAGAAGAAAUGACGGUACCUGAGUAAGAAGCCCCGGCUAACUACGUAACAGCAGCCGCGGUAAUACGUAGGGGGCAACCGUUAUCCGGAAUUACUGGGUGUAACGGAGGGUUAACUGUGAUGUAAGUCUGGAGUGAAAGUGGGGGGCCCAAACCCCGGACUGCUCUGGAAACCAUGUGACUGGAGUGCAUGAGAGGUGAGCGGAAUUCCUAGUGUAGCGGUGAAAUGCGUAGAUAUUAGGAGGAACAGCAGUGGCGAAGGCGGCUGACUGGACUGUAACUGACGUUGAGGCUCGAAAGCGUGGGGAGCGAACAGGAUUAGAUACCCCUGUAGUC
rnacentral:rRNA from 1 species